rnacentral:rRNA from 1 species
AUCGCCCGGGAACUACGAGCAAAGCUUAAAACCCAAAGGACUUGACGGUACCCCACAUCCACCUAGAGGAGCCUGUCCUAUAAUCGAUAACCCCCGUUUAACCUCACCAUUUUUAGCCUAUCAGCCUGUAUACCUCCGUCGUCAGCUUACCCCGUGAGUGACCCUCAGUGAGCUUGAUGCCCAUACGCCAACACGUCAGGUCAAGGUGCAGCAGAUAAAAUGGAAAGAGAUGGGCUACACUCUCUAUUUUAGAAAAUACGGAAGACUAUCUAUGAAACCUAGUCAGAAGGCGGAUUUAGUAGUAAAAAGAGACAAGAGUGCUCUUUUUAACAUGGCACUGGGGUGUGUACAC